rnacentral:lncRNA from 1 species
UGCAAUGCACUUCGCGAAGGAUCGUAUUUUUUGAGGUACGACAGAUGGCGACUCUGCUAGGGAACCGCUCCAUGCAAGAGAGAGUCAAGCCUAAUUUAGUCAACUUUACGAUAAAUAUUGUAUUUGUUUUAUUAUUUCUUUAUGCUUGUUUGCUUAUUUCUUUCAUUUAUUACUUUCUCUUUAUCAUUAUAUAUGUUUAUUAUCACGUUUAUCUAUGGGACCUGGGAUGAUAUCAUGAGUAAAGCACUUCACCCGAGCUUUGGAAAAAGAAGAGAGAAAAG